rnacentral:rRNA from 1 species
GAGGCGUGGCUUCCGGAGCUAACGCGUUAAAUCUACCGCCUGGGGAGUACGGCCGCAAGGUUAAAACUCAAAUGAAUUGACGGGGGCCCGCACAAGCGGUGGAGCAUGUGGUUUAAUUCGAUGCAACGCGAAGAACCUUACCUACUCUUGACAUCCAGAAAACUUUCCAGAGAUGGAUUGGUGCCUUCGGGAACUCUGAGACAGGUGCUGCAUGGCUGUCGUCAGCUCGUGUUGUGAAAUGUUGGGUUAAGUCCCGCAACGAGCGCAACCCUUAUCCUUUGUUGCCAGCGGUUCGGCCGGGAACUC